rnacentral:rRNA from 1 species
UACAGAGGUCUCAAGCGUUGUUCGGAUUCAUUGGGCGUAAAGGGCGCGUAGGCUGCGGGGCAAGUCGGGUGUGAAAUCUCAGAGCUCAACUCUGAAACUGCACUCGAUACUGCUUUGCUCGAGGACUGGAGAGGAGAUUGGAAUUCACGGUGUAGCAGUGAAAUGCGUAGAUAUCGUGAGGAAGACCAGUGGCGAAGGCGGAUCUCUGGACAGUUCUUGACGCUGAGGCGCGAAGGCCAGGGGAGCAAACGGG